ensembl:lncRNA
ACCUCUCUUCCUUCUAUCCCCAAGGCGACCUCUCUCCCUUUUAUCCCAAAAGAUACCUCUCUUCCUUCUAUCCCUAAGGUGACCUCUCUUCCUUCUAUCCCUAAAGUGACCUCUCUUCCUUCUAUCCCUAAAGUGACCUCUUCCUUCUAUCCCUAAGGUGACCUCUCUUCCUUCUAUCCCUAAAGUGACCUCUCUUCCUUUUAUCCCUAAAGUGACUUCUAUCCCUAAAGUGACUUCUAUCCCUAAAGUGACCUCUCUUCCUUCUAUCCCUAAGGUGACCUCUCUUCCUUCUAUCCCUAAAGUGACUUCUAUCCCUAAAGUGACUUCUAUCCCUAAAGUGACCUCUCUUCCUUCUAUCCCUAAGGUGACCUCUCUUCCUUCUAUCCCUAAGGUGACCUCUCUUCCUUCUAUCCCUAAGGUGACCUCUCUUCCUUCUAUCCCCUAAGGUGACCUCUCUUCCUUCUAUCCCUAAGGUGACCUCUCUUCCUUCUAUCCCUAAGGUGACCUCUCUUCCUUCUAUCCCUAAGGUGACCUCUCUUCCUUCUAUCCCUAAGGUGACCUCUCUUCCUUCUAUCCCUAAGGUGACCUCUCUUCCUUCUAUCCCUAAAGUGACCUCUUGUCCUUCUAUCCCUAAAGUAACUUCUAUCCCUAAAAUGCACUCUCUUCCUUCUAUCCCUAAAGUGACCUCUCUUCCUUCUAUCCAUAAAGUAACUUCUAUCCCUAAAGUGCACUCUCUUCCUUCUAUCCCUAAAGUGACCUCUCUUCCUUCUAUCCAUAAAGUAACUUCUAUCCCUAAAGUGCACUCUCUUCCUUCUAUCCCUAAAGUGACCUCUCGUCCUUCUAUCCAUAAAGUAACUUCUAUCCCUAAAGUGCACUCUCUUCCUUCUAUCCCUAAAGUGAACUCUCUUCCUUCUAUCCCUGAAGUGACCUCUCUCCCUUCUAUCCCUAAAGUGAACUCUCGUCCUUCUAUCCCUAAAGUAACUUCUAUCCCUAAGGUGACCUCUCUUCCUUCUAUCCCUAAAGUGACCUCUCUUCCUUCUAUCCCUAAAGUGACCUCUCGUCCUUCUAUCCCUAAAGUAACUUCUAUCCCUAAGGUGACCUCUCUUCCUUCUAUCCCUAGGCGACCUCUCUUCCUUCUAUCCCUAAAGUGACCUCUCGUCUUUCUAUCCCUAAAGUAACUUCUAUGCCUAAGGUGACCUCUCUUCCUUCUAUCCCUAAAGUGACCUCUCUUCCUUCUAUCCCUAAGGUGACCUCUCUUCCUUCUAUCCCAGAGUGACCAAUAAGAUUUGAUUUGUAUGCAUGUUAGGCUAUACACCAGUUAUUUAUGCAGAUUAAUGUGCUUCAUUUUAAAGAGUUAUUUGGCCACUUUAGUGCAGUUCAAGAAGAGUUAAGAAAGUAUUUACCAAAUAAGCUUAAGUAAAAAAUUGUUUUUUUAAAUUACACAAUAAAAUACCAAUAACGAGGCUUUAUACAGGGGGUACCGGUACCGAGUCAAUUUGGAGGCUAUAUACAGGGGGUACCGGUACCGAGUCAAUUUGGAGGCUAUAUACAGGGGGUACCGGUACAGAGUCAAUUUGGAGGCUAUAUACAGGGGGUACCGGUACAGAGUCAAUU